rnacentral:rRNA from 1 species
GAGAGUUUGAUCCUGGCUCAGAUUGAACGCUGGCGGCAGGCCUAACACAUGCAAGUCGAGCGGAUGAAGAGAGCUUGCUCUCUGAUUCAGCGGCGGACGGGUGAGUAAUGCCUAGGAAUCUGCCUGAUAGUGGGGGACAACGUUUCGAAAGGAACGCUAAUACCGCAUACGUCCUACGGGAGAAAGCAGGGGACCUUCGGGCCUUGCGCUAUCAGAUGAGCCUAGGUCGGAUUAGCUAGUUGGUGAGGUAACGGCUCACCAAGGCGACGAUCCGUAACUGGUCUGAGAGGAUGAUCAGUCACACUGGAACUGAGACACGGUCCAGACUCCUACGGGAGGCAGCAGUGGGGAAUAUUGGACAAUGGGCGAAAGCCUGAUCCAGCCAUGCCGCGUGUGUGAAGAAGGUCUUCGGAUUGUAAAGCACUUUAAGUUGGGAGGAAGGGCAUUAACCUAAUACGUUAGUGUUUUGACGUUACCGACAGAAUAAGCACCGGCUAACUUCGUGCCAGCAGCCGCGGUAAUACGAAGGGUGCAAGCGUUAAUCGGAAUUACUGGGCGUAAAGCGCGCGUAGGUGGUUUGUUAAGUUGAAUGUGAAAGCCCCGGGCUCAACCUGGGAACUGCAUCCAAAACUGGCAAGCUAGAGUAUGGCAGAGGGUGGUGGAAUUUCCUGUGUAGCGGUGAAAUGCGUAGAUAUAGGAAGGAACACCAGUGGCGAAGGCGACCACCUGGGCUAAUACUGACACUGAGGUGUGAAAGCGUGGGAGCAAACAGGAUUAGAUACCCUGGUAGUCCACGCCGUAAACGAUGUCGACUAGCCGUUGGGAUCCUUUGAGAUCUUAGUGGCGCAGCUAACGCAUUAAGUUCGACCGCCUGGGGGAGUACGGCCGCAAGGUUAAAACUCAAAUGAAUUGACGGGGGCCCGCACAAGCGGUGGAGCAUGUGGUUUAAUUCGAAGCAACGCGAAGAACCUUACCAGGCCUUGACAUGCAGAGAACUUUCCAGAGAUGGGAUUGGUGCCUUUCGGGGAGCUCUGACACAGGUGCUGCAUGGCUGUCGUCAGCUCGUGUCGUGAGAUGUUGGGUUAAGUCCCGUAACGAGCGCAACCCUUGUCCUUAGUUACCAGCACGUUAAGGUGGGCACUCUAAGGAGACUGCCGGUGACAAACCGGAGGAAGGUGGGGAUGACGUCAAGUCAUCAUGGCCCUUACGGCCUGGGCUACACACGUGCUACAAUGGUCGGUACAAAGGGUUGCCAAGCCGCGAGGUGGAGCUAAUCCCAUAAAACCGAUCGUAGUCCGGAUCGCAGUCUGCAACUCGACUGCGUGAAGUCGGAAUCGCUAGUAAUCGUGAAUCAGAAUGUCACGGUGAAUACGUUCCCGGGCCUUGUACACACCGCCCGUCACACCAUGGGAGUGGGUUGCUCCAGAAGUAGCUAGUCUAACCUUCGGGGGGACGGUUACCACGGAGUGAUUCAUGACUGGGGUGAAGUCGUAACAAGGUAGCCGUAAAUCUC